rnacentral:rRNA from 1 species
GGGGAAUAUUGCACAAUGGGCGAAAGCCUGAUGCAGCGACGCCGCGUGAGGGAUGGAGGCCUUCGGGUUGUAAACCUCUUUCGCUCAUGGUCAAGCCGCAACGUUUGGUUGUGGUGAGGGUAGUGGGUAAAGAAGCGCCGGCUAACUACGUGCCAGCAGCCGCGGUAAUACGUAGGGCGCGAGCGUUGUCCGGAAUUAUUGGGCGUAAAGGGCUUGUAGGCGGUUGGUCGCGUCUGCCGUGAAAUCCUCUGGCUUAACUGGGGGCGUGCGGUGGGUACGGGCUGACUUGAGUGCGGUAGGGGAGACUGGAACUCCUGGUGUAGCGGUGGAAUGCGCAGAUAUCAGGAAGAACACCGGUGGCGAAGGCGGGUCUCUGGGCCGUUACUGACGCUGAGGAGCGAAAGCGUGGGGAGCGAACAGGAUUAGAUACCCUGGUAGUCCACGCUGUAAACGUUGGGCACUAGGUGUGGGGGCCACCCGUGGUUUCUGCGCCGUAGCUAACGCUUUAAGUGCCCCGCCUGGGGAGUACGGCCGCAAGGCUA